CCUACGGGCGGCAGCAGUGGGGAAUAUUGCACAAUGGGGGAAACCCUGAUGCAGCGACGCCGCGUGAAGGAAGAAGUAUCUCGGUAUGUAAACUUCUAUCAGCAGGGAAGAUAGUGACGGUACCUGACUAAGAAGCCCCGGCUAACUACGUGCCAGCAGCCGCGGUAAUACGUAGGGGGCAAGCGUUAUCCGGAUUUACUGGGUGUAAAGGGAGCGUAGACGGUGUGGCAAGUCUGAUGUGAAAGCCCGGGGCUCAACCCCGGUACUGCAUUGGAAACUGGCCACCUAGAGUGUCGGAGGGGUAAGUGGAAUUCCUAGUGUAGCGGUGAAAUGCGUAGAUAUUAGGAGGAACACCAGUGGCGAAGGCGGCUUACUGGACGGUAACUGACGUUGAGGCUCGAAAGCGUGGGGAGCAAACAGGAUU
rnacentral:rRNA from 1 species